AAGUCGUAACAAGGUUUCCGUAGGUGAACCUGCGGAAGGAUCAUUAACACGUAUCCAACGUUAAACAACCCUGUGAACUUUCAGCGCUCUUGUAGCCCCGGAGGAACAGCAAUCCCGGUAAAUCAAAUGGCGGAAAGAGUUUUGAUUCGGGACCUCUGUCCAAAAGGUAUCAAGUUACAAUCGAGCAGAGCAGUGGCAUGGUUUCCCUAAGCAGUGCAGAAGGAUCCACUGAGUAAGGAUAACGCAUCACGGUUGCCAGAGGUCGAUCACCGGCCGGCAGACAUGUCACAGGCCUAAUCAAGCCUCGCGGAAACGCCGGGCAUAAAAACCGAACAACUGUUAACAAUGGAUAUCUUGGUUCUC
rnacentral:misc_RNA from 1 species